rnacentral:rRNA from 1 species
UUUUGUUGGUUCUAAGACCGUUGUAAUGAUUGAUAGGGACAGUUGGGGGUGCUGCUAUUCCGCGGCCAGAGGUGAAAUUCUCAGAUUCCCGGAAGAGCAACUUAUGCGAAAGCAUUCACCAAGGAUGUCUUCUCUGAUCAAGAACGAAAGUUGGGGGAUCGAAGACGAUCAGAUACCGUCGUAGUCUUAACCAUAAACUAUGCCGACUAGGGAUUGGCGGACGUUGUCUAUAUGACUUCGCCAGCACCUCAUGAGAAAUCAAAGUCUUUGGGUUCCGGGGGGAG